UGCCCCUAGAGACUGAAGUCCUAUCUGUAUAACCCAUAAAAUGUAUAGCACAGGCAGCAGCGGUGCAAGCUUCCCCCUACCCCAACCCAGAGAGCAUGAAAGGAGAUCACUGCUCAUGGCCCAUUUGUUCAUUGGCCUCUCAGUCUCCUUUGUUGGCUGCCUCUGCUCUC
rnacentral:sRNA from 1 species